UUGUCAGAUGGAAAUGUUUACCUUGCCCGAGCAGGAUGCCGAUUCUCUUCUCUAUUUAUGGGAAAACUUUAUGUCCUGCGGUAAUCCUUGCAAAUGUUGAGGAGUUAAUCUUUAUGUGGAAACAUCUUCGUGGUAGUCAAGUUGUACCACAGUUCAUUGUCAAAUCUCAUCUUUCCUGAAACAGGAUCCAUAAAUAUUCUCUUCAGUAGAACACACGGCCAUAUUCCUCCAAGAAUCUUUUCAAUAUCACGAGGAUUCAACAGAAACGUUUGACAUGACCGUUAAAGUUUCUUCAUCGGAAACGCUACUACCGUUUGGUAGGGCGAUAAAACGAUCAGCGUUUUUAAUAUCUUCUAUUAAACUUCCACCUCUUUCCUCGCGUGUGAACACGCUA